GGUUGGAGGACAGGCCAAUCGCUCCCGGCUAUGUGAGCCACUGGAGAAGUUCCUGAUGCCCACACCUGCUGGUCUCACUGCCAGGGCCUGGGCGUCACAGGCAUGGGGAAUGGGGAGGGGACGGUAGCGUCAGCCUAGACCCACACGCAGUUUCCUGAUAUAAGGUCCUUUUGAAACAUUCAUUCUCUUCUCACCAAGUUGAACGGAGAUGUGUUCCCAUAGUAAGAGUGAGGGCCCUGCAUUUGCUGCCCUCGGUUUUCCCAAUCAACACCAAGGCCUCCCCCCGUACCCCAUUCAUACGCCUCAGAAGCUGACAAUGACUGUUGGACUUUUCCAGUGAAUACCAGAACACCAUUUCCUGCAGCCUGAAAAGAAGACAGUAUAAUUAUUUGGCAGCCAGAGGCCAAGCAAGAAACCAGGGACAUGGUGAUGGCAGUGGCCCCAAGGAGGAGCUUUAAACCUGAGCACCACUCACAGGGGGCAGACCACCCUCCCGGCGCCAGUGCAAACGAAUGUCGGCCCCCACCCAGGUCCUCAAGU